ACAGGCAACAGAACCCCAUCUGGCACAGCAGCUUGAGACAGGGACUGUCAUGGAGGAACAAGAUCAAGACCUGCUUUAAUUGUGGAGCCCCCAGGGCAGGGUCUGAGAAAUAUAAAGGCAUUCGGCAGAGGGUGGGAGGAGGACAGAGCUGACAACCAGCCCUCCUGGAUCAAGGC
rnacentral:lncRNA from 1 species